GGAGAGGUGGCAGAGCGGUUGAUUGCAGCUGUCUUGAAAACAGCCAGGUGCUGAGCCUCGUGGGUUCGAAUCCCACCCUCUCCG
rnacentral:tRNA from 1 species